AAAAACUGUUCUUACAGCACGUCCUAUUUUAAGUCCGCAAGAUUAAAUUCUCAGAACUUGAAAAACACCAGAGUGAAGGAGUCAAGGUGAGAGUAUCAUCAGAUUAUAUAUCAUCUAGGUCACAAUAAGAAGAAUAUAAUCUUGAACAUUGGGGAAAAAAAAGAUUCUUCGAAAUUAAUCUUUAGCGUUCGCCGUGAUUUGUUUCUGUUUUGCACUACGUCCCUGAGUCCAGCUCUCCUCCAGUUAAUUUUGUUUUCUUUAUUUUUAUCCACUUGCUAUGACUGUUCUACUACUUGUGCCACCGCGGCGUGUCAGUCCUUUAUGGGAUCCCCGUUUCGUCUCUGCCUUUCACUGUGAUUUUCCAUCAUUAUGGGCCUCUUGAAUAAAAAUGUAGCCCUUGUUUCUGACAAAGUCCAUGUUCCUUUUCUUUUCUUUCUG
rnacentral:lncRNA from 1 species